AGUCGACUGGUCGGCUGCUCGCCCGUGCACCGCUACGUGUGUCUAGUACUGUCUACUGGGCGCCUGCCCGGAGAGCCCGUGCCUCCGUCGCUGCUCGACGGCUGCUACUCGUGUGACGUGUCUGUGGCGGCGGCGGAGGUAUCCCCACACCCGUAACGAGCUUGCAUUGCUUGCUCCCCCGAAAGACGAGCAGCGCAGGGCGAGGAGGUGCCGCGGUAGCGCGGAAACGAGGCCGGCUGUGGGGCGACUGGCGGGCCGCGGACGACUUGUGGCCGCUCAGUGUUUCGAUCAGUGGACCGAGUGAUGGGUCGAAUCAGUGACGUGAACCAGAACACAAAGCCAAGAAUUGGACAAACAAGCAGCAGAUAUCACUGAAAAAGAGAAGUAGGAAGAAAGGAAGGAGGGAGAGGACAAGGGUGUAAAGUCUGAACUGGGGCUGACAGAAGAUAAAGAGACAAUACAAUGGUGAGUUAUUUGAAAACAUUCUUGCUUGAAAUCCGGAAAACAGGAGGAUACAAAGGAAGACCUGUGAGAAAGACUUAAAAAGCAACACAAAGUGUUAACAGGUAUAAAGAUCACACAAAAAUAUUAUUUCUUGUAUACGUAUAUGCCUUUGGAUAAUAUAUGUUAACUGGAAUAUCUUAGAAUUUUAUAUUGCAACUUAAAUAUUUUAUAUAAAAGAUAUUUAUAUUUGAUUUAAUGCAACAUUCAAUAAACACAUACUGUUUCAGAAACACAAAAAUAAAUACAGAGAAAAUAGAAUGAGAAACAAGCAAACCUCUAAGAUUCACUAGACUUGUGUUUACUCUUUGUAACAUCUCACCAGCUUCACCAAGAAUCUUGGGUGACUGGCCAUCACCAUCUGCCUGUGGUGAAGGGACUCAUGGGACACUCCAGCCACACACUCACUGCCCCAGCUCAGACACCAGUCAGCUGACACACAGUAGUGAUGCUGCUGCUUCUUUGUCACUGUCCAUCAUCAUCAGUUUAAUGUAUUACCUUAUCCUUAUAAGAAGCAAAAGGAUCCUUCAGCAUUGGUGGGGUGACGGGAUGAAACAAAAAUUAGUAUGAUGUCUGUGCAAACAAUACAACUAUCUACAAGGGGUAGGCUACUUGUUCUCUUGCUGCCAAAUUAGUGUGACUAAACUAAAUGCAAGACUUAAUUGUACAUGGACUUUUGUGCCUGAGAAACAUAUUACAUUUCGCCGUGUGAAAGAUAAAUAGAGAUGCAAGUAACAUCUGAUUGCAUCGGAUAAAAAAAUAAAAAAAUAAUAAAACUGCUGAUUUUCUACAUCCUCCAAAACUUCAUUAUUAUUAUUAUUAUUAUUUUUUUUUGUAGAACCAGUUAGGGAAUGCUUGCUUUAUGUCCUCUUCAGUUUCACCAGCCAACAUAUCCCUGGGUAAAAUUGUUUGGCCCAGUGAGUGUGGCAAAGUGACUUCCAGUCACUGUCACCACUUUGCUAAUGCUCCUCCUAAACAGUUACCUCCAUGUGGGUGUUGUGGCCAUUCACGUACAGUAACUGCCACUUUGUGGAGCCCUGCAUUCGUGACUCAAGACCUAUGCAUAGCACACAAAGUAGCUUCAACUCAGUGGUUAUUUUCAAUAUAUAAUGAAUAUCUGUGGGACUUACUUAUAACCUUACUAUGCCUCUAAAUAUAUAUAAAAAAUGUUUUAAUGCUUGUUAGAACUUAGUAUGCUGUGGCGACUAGCAUGCUUUCAAAUAUGCAUAACAUUUAUGUGUAUAAAUAUUUUAUAGUACAGAACUCAUAACAACAGCAAAGUUUCUGUACAUAAGAGAAUAAGUGACUAAUUACUUAUGUUCAAGCAGAAACAUUAUUUGCCAGCAAAUAUGUCUUGUUUAAUGUACUCAUAUUGUCCUUGAUGCAUUCCAUACUCUAAGUGCAAGGACAGGCACAAAGAAUUUAUACCAGGUAGAAACUGAGUUCCUGCAGUUGCAUGAAAGCCUUUGGCUGCUGAAAAACAGAUCAGCACUUAAAUAUGCAUGCGAUAAAAUCUUUGAUGGUUAUAGAACAAAACAUCUGUGAUACAUAACAUCACUGCUUUCUCCUACACUCUGUACUUCCGAUGACUUUUUUUAAAUCUUUCUCAGUAUUCCUUCUUAAGUGUCUUCUUUAAGGUGAUGGUGGGCUUUGCAGGAAGAGAGGUCAGGUUAGAGCUACAGUUUGUAAGUCACAAAAGGGACGGACAUAAAAGUGAAAUUACUUUCCCUUCCAAGAGUAGAGAACAUCACCUAACACUUGCCUCUAUACACCAAGUGCACACACACACACACACACACACACACAGGCACACUACUCCUUGUUGCACAAAGUAAUGCUCCAAAACAUGUUUCAGUCUUAUGUACAGUGAAUAUACAAGAUAAAUGGAAAUCAUGAUACUUUCAACACAAAAUCUUAAGUGAUAGUGAAGAGAGAUUUCAUUGGAAUAUAGAAAAUAUAUAAGAAAACCAUAUUGCACCAAAAAAAAUACUUUGCAUACAUGAAUGACAAAAAAUCACCAACAAAGUGGUAUUUGUAAAUUAUUCAACUCCAGCAUUUAUGUGUAAAUUAAUAGGGCUCCCUAAUACAUAUAAUUAAAAAUAUAUCGUUAAUAUACUUUAAAGUCACAGUAAUCUUAGAGGCAGUCCCUGCACUGAUACUCUUGUGUGUAUCCACAACAUCACCUUCAGCAUGGGAGAACAGUCUGCCCCUUGCACACAGGCCAGGGAAUGAAGGAAUGACGGCAAUGCUCUGCCUUUGAGGCCUUUAGUGGGUGCGUGCUAGAUGUCAAACUGUUGGUAGUUAUGGCAGCAUUCAAGUCAAGUCACUGGCUGCAGCAAACAGAUAUUCAUUACUAAGGCUUAACACAGUGUCAUGGCUCUUCCAAGGUGCCUUCUGACUCUCCUCUCCCACAAAGAUUAUCUCACAUGCUUUAUGAAAUUAGAGCAAAUUCAGUGAUGCCAAAACAAUACCAUGUGUUGCAGCUUAUUUCCAACUAUUGAUUUUGUCCAGGGUCACUCAUGCUUCUUAGGCUUUGUGAGCCUUGAUGGAAACUGGAAGCCUGUGUCAACUUGAAUAAGUACACCAGUUUUACUCUAAAAUAAUGUCUCCUUAAGACAAAGCUGAACAGUGCCUUCUGAAUAACAGCUCUGAUGCACUUGGAGCUGUAGGAGAAAUUUGUUGCUGUAAUCCUUUCUAUAGAGUAAAUUAUUCUUUUGCACAGUGGUGCAGCAUGGGAGAUGUGUGUAUGUGACUUAUUGCAUUAAUAUACUAUAGGAAAUGAAGACAGUUAUGUCUCCCUCUACCCAGGGAACACACACACACACACACACACACACUCACACAUGUCUAAAUGUAACAUCAAUACAUCAUUCACUACCUAUACCAGAUAAUUUGCAUCAGACUUUGUCAGGCAGCAGGUCCUAAGAGCAUAAACAAAUUGAAACAAUAAAGCUAACAGUCUGAACAAGAUAAAAAUUAUGUACAUUUUCUUAGUCUCCAAAACAAGAAUGAAUACUAUGCCUCAAAUAAUGCACCAUACCUUGAUGUUAUGUAAGGCAACAUACAUAAAUGAUGCUCGUGUGCAUCAUGGUGUGGUAUGAAAAAUAUGUUCAUGGAAUUGAAAGUACACAAACAGUGUAUGAUUGCAUUAGGCAUCUGCACUCAGAAGUAAAGCUGUAAAUCUGAGGACCACUCAGGCAUAAUUCACACAGUAUAGUAUGGAAAUACAGUGUGUCCGUAUCUUUUGUCCAAACAUGGCCAGUAUUUUGAGAACCAUUCCUGACAUUUAUAGAUAAAUGAAUGAGUGUACAUUUUCUUAUCUAUAUGACAUACCUGAUUAACAUUUCAUACACAGCUGCUAAACUCAUACAAAUACAUAUUUGUCACAGAUAAAGAUGUGCUUGUCAUGUUUGCCUUUACCAUGAGAAGAAUGAACAAGUCAUACAAGUGAUAUGUGCACUGAUGUGGGCAGCAAGUCAGGCAUUCACAGUUCUUGUAGUUAGUGUGCACCAACAACGUGGCAUGAGGCCCCUGAACAGUCAAGAAACAACCAAACAACCAGCUGCCAGGCCUCACCACACACCACCGGCCUCACUCACCAUGCUCACCCCCCUCCCACAUUACCACCAUCAACUUUCUGGAACAUAUCCUGGUGGUGAUGCCUCACGACCAUUGCAAUGAUGCUGUGAUGUGGGGCUAUUUUCAUACAAUAUGUCUUUACCACUUACAAAAAAAUAAAUAAAUAAAUAAAUAAAUAAAUAAAUAAAUAAAUAAAUAAAUAAAUAAAUAAAAUAAUAUAAAAUAAAAUAAACAAAUAAAUAAUUUCAAUAUUAAACAAAUAUUUUAAACAAGAAUAAACAACAAGUAAAGACCAUUACUACUUCCUUGCUGGACAGAAAAGAAAAAGAUUUUUGGCUCUUUCUCCAUCAGUGGUAAAAACAAGUUUUGAGGGAGUUGAGGUAUGGAUAUAAAACACUAAAUUGCGCCACAGCUACAAAGUUAGCUACCUAUGAAGUGCAGUGGCUGGCUUCUGAUUCCAGACUUAAGCAACUGCUAAUUGGAAAUUUCUGGCAACAAAGCAUUCUAGCAGAGGUGGAUGAAGAGUUUGUAGGGCCCUAAGCCAUUACUAUAUCCUGUCUGUUUAUGAUAAGAGCUUUAGACCACAGGAAAUCCUGGCACUUCACUGGAGGGAGAUAGUCUAAACAGAUUAUUAUUAUUAUUGGAGCCAAGGGCCUGAUCAUAUAAAGUGUUUGAAAAUUAAGGUCUUUGGGGCUGCAUUAUUAACAUUUCUGUAAUUUUGUAAUGGGCACACGGCCCUAGGUCAUGGCCUGCUUGAUUGAGUUACUCUGGCCCUGCAUUCUAGAGUAUCAUGGCUGAACACUGAAACUGUAAUAUUCUGAGAGCCACUUAUGCACUGCAGCUCUUUCUAUUUAAAAAAUAUAGAUGUAAUUGUACAUAUGAAGGUAUUUGCUGAUUUUACUAAACCUCUAUCUGUGUACAAUGAUGUAAGCAGGAUCUGAAAAUAGUUUAAAUGCCAGUGGAAUUAGAAUUAGCCUUAUAUCCUCACAGAGGAUAAAAGUUAAAUGAGAAAAAAAACUAUCAUCUAAAUUCAUUGAAGGCAUCAAGCCGGCAGACUCAAUUCCCACCUUUCUGGAUUCUGCAGCCCAGAGCAGUAUGGUAUAGUAAUGAUAUUUACAACUCCCAGUCUAAUGUAAACAAAUAGCCAAAUGAGCUUAAAAGUAUGGAGAACUAAAAUGCUCUACAAUAUUGUUUUCUCUAUAUGGCACUAGAAGAAAGUCUACAGAAUGUGAUUGGAAUGUUACAAACAGAAAAUUAAGGAAUGAAGAACAACACAAAAAGAAGGCAUAGUGAAAGACCAAACAAACAAACAAACACACACACACACACACACACAGAGUGGCCACCAAGUGGAAUGGACAUGAGAGUGAGUGCCUCUGGAUUUUUGGAGAGGAUACGGGCUUACUCACAGCCUACAAGCCUAGGAUGUAGUUGUGGGCUUGGACGGAUGCAUUAGUACUGUCCCAUCUCAAGUAAGUGCAGCUUGAACACGUAUAUAAUGUGAAAAUGGAGAAAGUGCUGGGUCAGUCUGAUUAAAGAGAACGAUGGGUUAGUGUGAGAUGCUGCUGAAAAGAAGAAAUGCAUUGUUGCCUCCAGUAAUGUAUGCAAUUUUUAUCAAUGAAAUGACGGUGGGAGUGAACAGUUACAUGAGUUUGUUUGCUGAUGAUGCCAAGUUUCUUAGGAAGAUCAGAAGUGAAGGGCAUUGUCAAGCACUUCAACAGGACCUGGACAGGAUAUGGGAGUUGAGUCAUAGAUGGUAAAUGGAAUUUAACAUCAGAAAGUGCAGUGUGAUGGAAUUCAGAAAAGCAAAAAGAGAAUUUCAGGUACACAAUGGGAAAUGAAAACAAUAAGAAAGCAUUAAUGAAAAAGGACCUGGGAGUAACUGUAUUGGAUAAUUUGUUGCCAUAGAAACACAAAAUAGAAUUGCAGGUGAGACACACAAUCUGGUGAGAAUCUUUAAAGUUGCUUUUCAAUAUUUGGAUGAGGUAAUGAUGAAGAAACUGAUUGUAACCAUGAUAAGUCCAAGGGUGGAAUACGCAGCAUCAGUACCAGUAUGGUCACUGAGUACAAAGUCAAAUAUAAGGAAAGUAGAGGAUUCAGAGGGCAGCAAUAAAAUUGGUUCCAGGACUAAGAGAUUUAACAUAUGAAGAGAGAUUGAAGUGGUUGAGCUUACCAACACUGGAACAGAGGAAGGAGAGAGGAGAUCUGAUUGUGGUGUACAGGGUGCUGCACGGGAUGGAUAAAGUGGACAAGGAAGGUCUAAUAACAUGGGAUACAAGAGAAUCAAGAGGUCAUGGAAGGAAGAUGAAAAAGGAAGCCUGUAGAAGAGACAUUAAGAAGAAUAGCUUUCCACAAAGAGUGGUGGAGCCCUGGAGUGCCCUGGAAAAAUGUGAUUCAUGAAUUUAAGGCCAAGUUGGAUUAUAGUAGACAUAGAGAUAGGGAAGUACGAGCAUAGGUCCUUUCCCAUAAACCACAACUAGGUAAACACACACACACACACACACACACACAGUAGUUAGCACGGUUGGGUCACAACUUGGUCCCAGGCUCGGUUCCCAGAUGGAGUGGAAACAGAUGGGCAGUCUCCUUUAAUCCACACUCCCUCUCCACCCAGCAGUGAAUGGGUAUUGAGUGUAAGUCUGGGGUUGUGGUCCGCCUCUCGGGUGUGUGUCAGUGUGAUGUGAGGUUCCAGCUGUACCAAAAAAUCUGCAACUUCAGCUCCAAGCUUGUUUGAGGAAGUUACUGGCUGGUAAUUGCAAGUCUAGUGUGUGAUCAGGCUAUGGUGAAUGACCAUCUUAUGGCACCAAGCUUGUCAAUAAAGUUUAUGAAACUUUCUCUACUAAAGAACAUUCAGUAAACUAACAACGUAUAUGCUUGCAGCAACAACUAAAUAUACAUAAAUUAAUCAAUGAAAGUCUAAGCCUGACUGGAAUGUGUUGUGAAGCUUGGUUGAUGAUGAGGUGUGCCAGA